GUGGAGAUACGAAGUAAUCAAACAUCUUAAAUAUAUUGUUGGCCAAAAUUCAAUACGUUGUAAUUUUAUUGCAUACAUAUUUCUUUGUAGUGCGACAACCGUUAGUAUAAUACCGUUUCACAACGUAAGUAGUUUAGGCUAAAAGUAGUAAUAUUAAUAAAGUUGCUACCUUUUAAAAAGUAGUGUUUAAAUAAUAAAUUAAAAAAUUAUAAAAAGAUUAUACUAUUUGAUCGGCCACAUUAUAACCAGAAAAUAUAAAAAUUACCAAAAUAUGUAAAAUUAUCGACCGUUCGAAACAAAUUUUUUCUUAAAACUAAUUAAAAUAUGGGACAUAAGGAGUAGUAUUCAUCCUAGCACACGCUCGUUUAGACUUUUUUUAGCGUCGGAAACUAAUUUAAGAUUUAUAACUAAUUGUUACUAAAUAAGAGUAAAGGAGACCUACAUUGAUAAACUAAUACUAACAAUGAAUUUUCUAUGUACAUUCAAUUUCCAGUUCUUUGCUAGGUUUUCUUUUAUUUGUGUGGAGCCUUGGCCUUUUUUGAAAAGAAAUAUAUUCGAUAAAUCCCACUAUAAGACCUAACGAUCAUAUAGUAUAUAUAUAUGAUAGAUAUAAACUAAGAUAACCCAGAAUCCAAGUACAAGACAUUAAAAUUUUAACCCUACAUUGUCCAAUCUAUUUGUCGUUUUCACUAGGUUUUGUCUAUGUGUGAGUUGGCAAAGUUGUAUUAUGACAAGCAUUUGCAUUUUUUGAAAAUAUAUAGACAACUCUAUAUGGGGUUAAAUAAAAUUAUUUAUUUUAGUCUGUUAGAAUUAUUACAGAUAUUUGUUCUGAUGUUAUGUGAUAGUUAUCGUGAAAAUAGAUCAUCGAUCCAUUUUUUUCUUUAAAAUAUAAAUCUUUCGAGGAUUAGUUAGUUUGAUUCAAAUAAACAAUACUAAUAAAUGACUCCUAAUAAAUAGAGCUGAAUAUAAACUCUUUGUUUUUAAGUUUUCAUGAUGUCGAUAAGUUUAAGAAAUCCCAACACCUAUAAAGUUUAUUUUGUAAUAUACGUUGACAAAAAAUGUUGUUCGAUUAGUGAAGUGUCUUUAUUUAUUUUUAUUUUAUUUUAAAUAAUGUCGCACACAUUUAAACGAUUUUCCAACGUGCUGUACAUUUAAAUAUAACAUUCUUACAUCAUGGUUAUCUUCAUCAAAACGUACCGCGACCUAACCAAAGAGAAAGAAACAAAACAAAAAGAUUCUAAAUUUGUGGUGAACAAUAUACUGUAUCAUUUUCUGUUCAAGAAUUACUUUCCCAAGCAUCAAGAAUUAGUCAAGGUUUUAUAGUUUGGUCCACGUGACUCGGUUUCUUAAAACUCGAUUUAUGAGACAAUCAUUAAUGUUUAAUGCUUUUCUGGUCGAUUUGACGUUUGAUGGAAAAUGGGUUCUGUGAAUUUCAGAGGAAACAAAAGUAAAAAACAUAAAUACUGUAUAAGAUUACAAAACAUGACAAGAAAGAUUGUGCAGAAUGCAGAUAGAGAAAUAUGAUUCCCAACUUGAGUCCUAUGCCUGCGGUGGUGGAGCUAUACUGUCACAGCUUCAAUAAUGUUAAGUGAAUAGUGUAUGGUGACAUUAUAUGAGAUGAUUGGCCGUCGUAUUAUUUGAACAUACGAUUUGCUUCUAUUUUUUUGUGAUUUGUAUUACGACAAUUUACAGGUAUUAUAAAUUUGAUACAGAAAAUUUGCUAUUUACAACAAAAAGAUAUACGCAAUUGUCACAUUUCCAUUGGUUUAAACUUCAAAGUAGAGACUGAGUUUUACUAUACAUUUUCUUUGUGAUUACUGAAAAGUAUCAUAAAUGAGUCAAGAAUUCAUAUUAAGAAGAAAUAAUUAAAAUGGAUAUACGUACGUCUGGCUAGAUCAAGAUGUGGUACAUAAAAAAAACAUAUAGAUAAUUAGUUUAUUUAGGGGUUUUACAGCCAUUACAUUGCAUAUUUACGGUUGACAGUGUAAUAUAUAUACUACACACCCAAUGGCAAUGACCCAAUUGUCUAAUACUUUGUUCUUUACUCCCUAGAGUUUUGUAUUUGUCUUUUUAGCUCACCUAAUUGUCAUCAAGUUCCAAGUAAAAUAAUGUGGUUUUUAUUAAUAAAGUAUGUAAACUUGAUUUACGCUUAAAGUAAUAGCUUUAAUCAUAUAAAAUGAUAUACUAACAUGUGUGUAAUAAGAUUUCAAAAUGCGUUAAUGAAAACGUAGACGGAGUAAGUCUAUAUAACCAUGCAAAGUAAACUUAAUAAUCGCUGAGUUGUGUUGCAUAUUGAUAAGCUAAAAGAUGAUGAUACUGUUAUUAUCCUUACAAGUAUACAACAACAAACAAAUUAUAAUCAUAUUGUUUCUUAGAACCGUUGAAAUCAUGAAAAUUUGAAAUUAGUUAUGUUCUAUUUGGAUAAAUUUAUCCAUAAUUGUAAAUAGAAUGAUUAUAAACAAGUGAGUGACAAAAAAAUAGAAAGAAAGAAAGAAUGACUAUAACCAUGUCUUGCCGGUCCAUGAAAGUGAAUCGUCGAAGCAACUUGCCAUCAUUUCCUUGUCUAUGUGAUUAUUACACCAGAUAAUGCAUUAAGCUUCAGUGUGUUGUUGAUAACAAAAAAGGAAAAAAAAAACAAAUUGUUCAAAAAGUUGUGGCAUCAAAGAAGAUGGUACCUGGGGCUAUACGAUCAUCGCUAGUCUAUAGCUCAUUCAAAUAAAAUGUGCAAAGAAUUAAAAUAAAUAAUUAGCAUGAUACAUGCGUAAGUAUUUGAGUUUACACUAUCGGUCCCAAACAAGCAAAACUAAGCGUGCUUAGUGCUUACAGCAUUUGAUUCUUUCAUCCUUUUUCUUGCUUUUCAUUUUUUCUUUCCUGUUUUUCCUUUUUAGCUUUUUUUAUCCGGGAAAGUGAUAGAAACCUUGUCUCCUCGUUGAAAUGUGAUACCUUCUUUUUUAUUUAUAUUUCUUUUAACAAAAAAAUAAAAGAACAGAAGAAUCUCAGCCUUUGCUUCAAAAACAAGAAAUUCACCGAUGGAUCCAAAGGCUUGAAACGGUCCCCUUUUCAAAAUAGCAACUAAUCAUAGUGAAAUGAUGACACAUCUCUCUCUUUCUUUCUUUCUUCCACUCUUUUGUCUCAUUUCUUGUAAUAACAUCAAUCAAACCUUGUCUUAUUCUUUUUUCUUGCAACGUCUCUCUCUCGCCUAUCUGUUCCUCCUCGUUCAGUCCUUUUACUUCUCCACACUCUCUGCAUAAAAAAAUCAAAAAGACUUUGCAGAGAUGAUGCUAUCGACAAUGAGAAUGAAGACGGUGCAAGUUUUGAAACAUUUACAUAUGAAUAUCAAGAUUGUGAUCGAUCUACGAGAACAAAAGAAUUCGAUAUAGAACGCGACAAGGCCAGCACUACAUUCGAAUGUUGCUGUGGUCCUGUUUAUCUAUCAAUAGUCAGAAAAGAACAAGGAAUAUGGAAACAGGGCAUCCUUAUUGGGGUCCUGAAAACAAGUCCUAUAUCAAUUUGGGCUUAAAAGAAAAUGAAAAAUGAUGAAAUAGCUAAGAUAUAUGGAUCGAAAGUCCUUUGUUAAGAGAUUUUGUGGGCUGGUCCUUGGGCACAGGUGGCAGCGUUUGAUUGGAGUGAAGAAAUCAGGGCAUCAACUGAACUCAUUCAUCUCACAACUCUCUCCUCUCUCCUGUAUGUCUAUCUGAACGGCGAUACCAAAGGCGAUCGAUACUCUCCGAUCUCUCGUCGCGCUCGUCUCACCACUCUCUCGUCGCGCUCGUCUCACCACUCUUUCUGACCGAUCUAUUCUCCGACCCAAACUUCUCCGCCGAUCUCUAUCAAAAAGAUGACGAUGCAGAUUUAGACGCCCCGUUAGAAGAAUUUUUAAACAACUACAAUCCUUUUCCAGAACCAAAAGAAAGAAAAAAACGUGUUUUUAUCGAAAGGAACC